AAAAGUCUCCAUCUUGGUCUAACACCCAAAAAUGGUGCACACCCACACUACACGGGCAUGCGCUAGUCAAUGACAAAUCAGAAAUAAUUAACUGCCCACCUGGGCUGUCCUAAGCCAAGCUAGAGCCAACCAUUGGAUUUGUGAGACACAGGAAGUGAGGUAGGGAACAGCCUCUGGAAUUCGCGGAACUUCCUGUGGAGAGAGCUAGAGGGGAGUUGGUGUUAGGAGCUUGGAGAGAGAGGACGCCCGCAGACAGCUUUCCUUCAGAUCGGUCACAUAUAGAUAUAAUGCCAAUCUAGAUAUCAUGAAGAAUCCUACAAUCAGAAAGAAGAAUAACAAAUGGAGGAAUAUACAAGUCAAAAGUAAAAAAGAUCCAUGAAAGGGUUUCAACCAAAUGAACCAUUUUUGGCUCCAUAGAUCCCAGAAGAACAAGAUGAUCCAUAGGAAAUGCCUUCCAAUGUGGAAAUUCAGAUGAAUAUAUUUUUUUCUGGAACACUGAGAGAUAAAAGAAAACGUGUUGUCAUAAAACAAAGAAAGAAAAAGGAAAGGAAGAAAAAAGAAAAUAAAGGAAGGAAGAAGGAAAUAAAGGAGAAUAAUGAUUAUUAGCCUGGAUCAGCAUUCACACCUUAUCUAGAAAAGAGGAAUCCCUUCCCUUUCCAUUUAUGAUACUCUCACAAAGGAUAUGAGAUACAAGUUUUAGAAAUAUUGUUUUCCUGAAGCUUAUGUUCAAGUCCAAUUAAAAAUUAGAUACUUGCUAUUUCCACUAGUGUUUGAUGUGGAGACUACUGAUGGAACUAUUCAACUGAAUGCAAUUCAAGAAACAUUAAGCAUUCUAUUUGAAAGGGAAAUAAAAACAAAAAUGAAAUAUUACCUUCUCUCAGAGAACUUAGCAUUCUAUUGAGAAGAUGUAACAUACACAAGAACAAAUAUAAAAUAUAAACAAAGGGGGACAUUGAAUGGUACAGUGGAAAGAGUACUACAUUUUGAAUCAGUGGUCCUCUGUUCAAAUCCUGCCUCUGCCAUUUACUAUUUGGGUGAUCUUUGGUAAGUGAUUUAACCUUCU